rnacentral:ncRNA from 2 species
AUUUUUAGCCAAUUAAAUGGUGCUCACGAUGAGUUAAUAGGGAAUUCGGUUAAAAUCCGAGGCUGUCCCCGCAACUGUAAGUCUUUUUAAUGGAUUAUUUUAAUUACCACUGCUCCUUUGGAAUGGGAAGGUUAAAUAAUUUUGAGACAAGCCAGGAAACCUGCCAUUGAAUAAAAUAAUCA